rnacentral:lncRNA from 1 species
GGAGCUCACCUCGCCGGGAGGGUGACGGCAGGACGGGUCUGUCCCACGCACCUCGCCUCUCGCCCCUUUCUGCUGCCUGCCUGGAUGGAGCCCUCGUCCCUCUCCCUCCUCCUCCUCCUCCUUCUUUCUCUCCUCCUCCUCCUCCUCCUCCUCCUCCUCCUGCGCCGCAGCCCGGAGCUCACUGGCUGCGAGCGCCGCGGACCAGCUUGUUCUCAUUAGGGCCGCUUUGGGGAGGGAGCAGGGGAGGCCGGCGAGGGGCAGGCGGCCCCCAGACCCACCACGGCCCCCUCCAAGGGGGGACAGCCCACAGCUGGGGGCCUCUCAGCAUGAUGGGGUGCCCCUCUGCAUCCCCGCAUCCCCACACCGCUUUUUGGGGUGCAGGAGCAGAAAGAGGGGGCAAGGGGAGGGCUUUGCUGCGAGGGCUGGAGGUAAAAGCGUGGCUCCUGCAGAGCCGUAUGUAGCCCCACAACGCAAGGCCCAGCCUCAGCUCCUGGGCCCCAGCACCCCAGCCCGGGGCCAAAUCCUGUCCCUGUGCCCAGCUCUGCAAACCCAAACCCCGCCGCAGUGCGGGCUGGUGGGGCGCAGCCACCCCGUCCUGCAAGGCAAGGUCACGCAUCUGCCCCGGGAGCAAAAGGGACCCAAAACCCAUGUGGGGGCUCUGCCCAUCUGCCCCAUCGAUCCAUCUAUUGAUCCAUCGAUUGAUGGAUCCACCCAUCCAUCCAUCCAUCCAUCCAUCCAUCCAUCCAUCCAUCCAUCCAUCCAUCCACCCACCCACCCAUCCAUCCGUCAUCCACCCAGCCAUUUCCCCAUCCACCCGCCCACCCCAGAGCCCUAGAGGUAGGGACAGGGAUGAGGAUGGGGACAGGGAUGAGGUGAGGGAUGGGGAGGAUUUGGGGCUUCGUUCCCCAGCACUUUAAGGCCUCUCGAUGUGGCAUGGGGGCAAACAGGGCUUGGGACCAACCCCCCCCCUUGGUUUUAGGAGCCCGUUUCCUAAACCCACGGCCUGGAAAAGCUCCUGCACAAGGAACUCAUUCUUGGGGUGCAGGCAGCGGUGGGGAAAAUCACCCCUGUGGGUCCCCGUAUGGGGGCACG